rnacentral:rRNA from 1 species
AUGAAGCCGGAAUUGCUAGUAGUGGCAGGUCAGCAUACUGCCGUGAAUACGUUCCCGGGCCCUUGUACACACCGCCCGUCACACCAUGAGAGUUGGGAAUACCCGAAGCCUGUGAGCUAACUUUUAGAGGCAGCAGUCGAAGGUAGAAUCAAUGAUUGGGGUGAAGUCGUAACAAGGUACC